AAAUUGUGGCCAGUGAAAAUGCUGAGUGGCUAGUAAUUUUGGAAAACCACUAGCCAAAGUGACUGGUGAGCAAAAAAAUUUAUGUCAAGCCCUGUAUAGAAUAGAUAUUUUUACAGACA